rnacentral:lncRNA from 1 species
UUACCAGAAAAGGGGGACGUUUUGACCAAAAUGGGGGGUGUAAUGACUAGGGGAUGUUUUGACUAAUAUCCGGUCAUGGCGAUGACUGAUGCCAAUGAACACGAUUUACUGUUGUCAUGUACUCCGAAAAGAUUAGUCAAAAAUUCUACUACAAGUAUUUGAACCACAUGUAUUUCAGCUGGGAAUAAAAAUGCGGUUUGCCAAAAAUGGUCCUGCAUGAACCGGAAAGUACAUUUUGACAGUUGGCAGUAAAAUAAGCUAAUUGUUUAUAACACUGCCCAUGAAGAGAAGACAUUCUGUGAAUAUUAUAAUUAACAUUAAUAAUUUUGCGUCCGGCAGGGCAUGAUCAAAACAUGUAGUUAGCAGCUAGUUAGGUUUACAGAUGAUAAGAUGUAUGAAAAUUUAUAUAUUGAAAUUUUAUGGUCCGGCAUGAACACGUUUAAGCAGGGCACAGUGCCUGUCUAAAAGGGGGUAGGGGAAAACCCUGCAUAUUGUUGCAUUUAACAUUUGAACAAUUGUGAUGUCUUUAAACUACACUGACAUAACAUUUUCAGUGAAAAACAGUAGGGCGAAUUUAAAUAAAACAUAUUCACAAAAAAAGUCAUAAUAAAAUAUUAUGCUCAAAGAUCGAUCAAUAGUCAUGAUAGUUGCAAAGUUUACAGCAUGUAAACAAUGCCAAUUAUGUGAUCAAUCAUGCGCGGCCUUUGGUAUUGGUUUCUUAUGUGUUUGUCAUGGAAGAAGCAGGAUGGAUAUAAAAUUAAUUUGUUUUUCAGAUCACUUUAUUGGACGAGAAGUUGUUACGCCUACAAAUUUCAGAUGUUGCAUCUUGAAGACAGCGAUCACUUCAUGAUCAUUCUCACAGGAAAGUGAAGAGAAAAUGGCCAACAGGGAGUGUAUAUUGGGAAAAUUGAAACCUUUCAAAGCAACUGAUGAGUACUACAAUCUUCUGCCAGAGGACGAAGUAGCAACCCCCCAAGUCAUUCACAAGAUUACAAAAGGGCUAUGAAUUGUUUUUUUUCUUUUUUUGGCAAGCACAAUUCUGCUGCCAAAACCAAGAAUGCCUUCACAAUUAGCUUCGAAUAUGAUAAUGGAGAACAGUGAAAGUUUUUGUUAGUAAGAAAAUCAGUCUUGGAGAGGAAGGAAAGAGAUCCGUGAUAACAGAUGAUACCUUAAAGCACUAUCUAAAUAAACAUAUACACAAGUAAUCUCGCAUCAACAAAUAUGUGUCGUAGCAGUGAGAAAGCUCAUUUUCAAAAGUGUGUUUUUGGAUAUCAGACCAACCAUGACAUUUAUAAACGGUCCUCAGAGUUGGUUGAACACAAUACAUGUACAUUAGUCCGGAGGAUUUAAUCAUAACUGCCAUCAACAAAGUUGAAGUGGUUUUUACUGGUUUGAAAUGUGAGGUGUAAUCAUACAGUAAACAAAUAAUAUAGUAUUAACAUCGUUAUAGCAUUCAAGGUUUUUAUUCAUUUGUUUAGCUUAUCUGAGCCAAAGGCUCGGGAUGAGCUGUUAGUAUGGGUUGGUUGUCCAGCAUUAAACGUCCUGUGUCCAUCCUCAAGAUUGCAUAUAAAUUGCUUCUCUAAAACUACAUAUCAGAUGUUAACCAAAUUUGGUCUGUAACACCCCUCCUUUGACCACCAUUCAAAUUACAGGAAAUGGUUACUUUGUGACCUUGACCAUUGAUCUUAAGAUAUAAAUUAUAUUCAUACUGAAUGUUUUAGUACAUUGUAAAAUGAGUAUUACUUUAAUUGAUACAAGAAUUGUAUGAAUCUAGUUAAAACAUCAAAUUUUGAUAUCCAUUAUUUAAUAGAAGUGUAAAUGGAAUUAUGAGUGGCACUUACGUCUCUGUGACAAAUCCUCAAAAAAUUCACACACAUUUUCUGUGUCAAACAGACAUGUAUUAUAUAAAAAAUACAGCCAAGCAAAUUGUUUAACUUUAUUCGCUAUAUAAUAAUCUGUGCCAAUUUACUUGUGAUUUACUAUUUCCAUGCCAAUAAAUUAUGCACUAUAUACACAGUUAUUAAAAUUGAAGUUUUAUGAGGAAA